rnacentral:rRNA from 1 species
UUACAGCCAUAUCAUGUUGAAACACUGAUUCCCAUAUGAUCACUGAAGUUAAGCAACAUUGAGCCUGGCCAGUACCUAGAGGGGUGACCACUUGGAAAUACCAAGUGCU